UUGUCACAAGUCGGGGUGGACCCAGAUGUAAAUAAGGUCACGCUCCUUUCUCCACCUCGAGGAGAUUCCCAAAGCCACCCCAAUGACCAGACACACAAGCUCGGCAUCCCAGCGUUCACGCUAGCUCUCCUUCUCUCCACAGACGUCUGCUGGGACACAAAGACACAGUGAAUCGUUUUCCAAUGGUUCUCUCACCUCGUCGCUGACUACAGCUUUGGGGUGGCGGACUUACGAUGGCUGGCUACGCGAUGCGUCAACUGGACAGUGGUUUCCUAGGUGGCGCCGGGGGCCAAAACCCUCUCGGCGAGCUCGUUGGUCUACAGAGGGGCGAGGACGUCACGCCGGCACACCGGGUCGAGCGCUGCCCUUUCCUCGAGACCCGUUGGUCGAUCGAAAACUGGACCGGGGCGCCCUUUCGUCGAGACCUCGGGGCGGCGGAUCUCCUUCGCCUCAAGCUCUGUGAUGAUCAAAAGACACAGGUAAGGUAGCAAUAUUAUAGGUAAUACUCACACACCGUCAAUAGCACAGUUCUUCACCGCCACUCCUAAACUCAAGUCCGCCGAGCGUUUGGCUGGGAAAAUACUUCGAGAUGCCACUCCGUGAUUUUAAGACUGAA